rnacentral:lncRNA from 10 species
CCUAGGAGUCUGUGGGUUUAAUAAGCACCUCCAGGAUUUGUGUCUUCGGGUAAGCAUUGAAAAAUCCUGGAACUUUCAAUAUUUAUGUAGCCAAAGUGUCUCUCUUGCUCACUCACUUGCUUGCUUGUGUACCACUAAUUGAGCAACUACUAUGGGCCAGAUGCUCUGGAAAAUGUUGUUCUGAAGAGGAGUACUAAUCUUCACCAGUGGUGCACCUAGCUGUAUUUUGCACAUUAGGAAACAGACCCAGAGGCACACCUCCCAGAUGCAUCUUCCUCAUGGGGUUGUCGCAGGGUUUAAGAAAAUGAACUCAUAUAAAGGGCUCAGAAUAGUGUCUGGAUCACAGAACUCUGAAGAAUUUAUGUCAGUGAUUCUGAAGUGAGAAUGGAACAUGGAUCCAACCCCUCUAAGGCAGAAGAGAUGUGAGCAGAUUACCUUCUCUGUCCUUAAAAGGAGUGGCCCUGCAUUCCCUGAGAGGGCAUAGCUGGGGCAGUCAUCUGGACCCACCAGACAGGAGCUGAAGCUUGAUAAAAGGUGCCUGGUUCCAGUGACUAUGGAGCAGCCUGCCAGCACUAGAGGAGUCACAGAGAUGUCUAGAUGAGUCACAGAGACAUUUACAUGAC